UUAUGUGAGCCUUGGAGUCUCAUUGAAGUUGUCUGUUUCUGGAUCUCAAAGAAUAAGACCGGUCCAGCACUACUUUACCAUCUCUCUUUCCCGUGAGGUUUGGAGGUAAUCCAAUCUAAACAUGGCAGACGAAGAAAAUGAGGAGGAAGUCGAGGUUGAAGUCCCAGCAGAGGAAG